rnacentral:lncRNA from 1 species
GAAUAUCUAAAUCAGAAAAUUCAUUGGUUGGAUUAUGAGCUUUACCUGGACUUUUGACAAGAUCUUGCGGGUCGGAUUCUUGGUGAUGAAUCUGGUGGAUUCCACUUUCUUGAUUUCGAUUUCUUCUUGAGUAAACAAUUAACUCCUUUGUUUGUUCUUUAUUCUCAUGAUCAGACUCUACACCUUCAUACUCCUUUUCAUUAACAACAUUAACAUCAUU